CGGAGGUGGCGGUGGGUGCGCCUGCGCAAGGAGCGCCAGCCUUUUCCGUCCGCCUCCUCCCCCAACCUUCCUAGGCCAGCUGGGUCCGCUGUCGAGGACCGCCCGGUGGUGCCCCCUGUGUCUGGGAUGGAGCAAGGCAGGGAGGGAACAGCAUUGAGCCAGGUCCCUGCUGCUCAUGGCCCAGGGGCUGUCCACCGUGGCUGGUGCCGUGGACCCCUUCUCAAAGUCAGGCUGUUAUAUGGACUCAAAGGAGAUUUGCAAAGGAGUAUUGCAACAGGCAGGUCAAGGAGGGGUGCAAGGGAGUUAUUUCUGGCUCCACCUCUACCCCAAGGAUGAGCCCUCCAUGAUAACAAAGAGAAGGCAUUAACUGCAACCAGUUCACCACUUCUCUGUCAAAGACUGGAGGUGAAUUUCCUCCUUUCUUCUCUCAAGAUUUAAAGGCAACAUUGAGGAGAAGGUACACCAUCUUCCUGGCGUUCCCGAAGUUUUACUUCAUUAAGAGAGUUGUCAAUCAAUCAAUCAAUUAUUGGCUAUGAGAAGAUAUCACCACAGAAUGCCGCAGAACUGUUCCAUUUCUUGCUGAUUUGUUUCACUCUUUCCAGUGUUAUCUGUAGAUACUCUUUGGAUGAUAAGGCAGAGCUGUGUUCUCACAUCAAACUCUGUUCAGGCUUGUUUCUUAUAAACUCUUUUCAUCCUACUCGGUAAUAUUUUGUAAAUGGGCUUGUCCUAAGCCACUCUUGCCCCUGGCUACCAAAACCUUACAUAUUUCUAAGACCCACUAGCCAGGUUGCCCUUCAAGCUGGUCUCAGCACUGAUGCGAUGAGUAUCCCCCUAUAAACCCGGUGUAUAUUAGAAGCAAUGCAAAGCUUCAACAGAACUCAAAGAGGCGAUUUGUCUCAAAAAGACCUGAUGAUUCCAGGAAGGGAAAAAGGGACAAACACAAAUCCACACACACCCAAGGAACAAAAAUGAAAGAACAUGGAAACAUGCCCAAAAUCAACAAUAGCUACACAUGGACUUGAGAACAAACUCUUCGUGAUGAAAGACGGACAGUGAUGACUGGAGUGACAAUUACUGGUUACAAAAGACAAAAACGUGGCACCUUGGAGUGUCUUGGUGAACCUGAAAGUGACCAUGAGGCAUGAGCAAGACCUUUCAUGCCGACAUGUCAGACUGAGCAAUGUCUCAUGGAGGGAUCACUCUGGCAGGAGCUUUGGUGUGGACUAUGCCAAUACAACAUAAAACUCAUGACUCACCAAGUGACACAGUUUCUGAGGAUCACCCCCAAGGGCAGACCCAGAUUUCUCUUUCUUCUUGAAAUGGGUCAUUUAAUUGGCUUGAUUUUCUGAAUUAAAGCAGAAUAGUAUAUACGAUGACUCUAGCAACAUAAUUAAAAGCUAGAAAACAACAAGAUCAUUUUGCUGAAAACAAUAUUGAGGAUAUGACUGAGAGUACAGAGACAUAUGGGCCACUGCCUAGCAGAGUCAUCACCAAUGGCAACUUAUUUUGAGAGUCCACUGCAGAGUGGAAAGAGAGGGAGAAUUUGGAAGGGGGAGGAGGAGAACUAGAGAAAUCCCCAAGGAAUAUUUAAAAAGAAUGAAGGCAUAAUCUGAAAUAUCAAAAUUUGAUUUGGAUAGGUUAAGUUGGUAGACAGCAGAAGCCAUGGUAGUAUGAGGUAUCAAAAGCAACUAGAGAUAUAAGAACUUUCCUUAAGCUGCUGGAAAAGCAAAUUCUAGUAAGGAUUGUUUCAGAGAAAUAGUUCACAUUGAUACAAGCCUUUCAAUAUAGCCUUGUGUGGAACACAGUGCCAGUAUCCCAUUCUACAGAUGGCUUAGAGAAAUGGUCAUGUUAGUCUAUAGGUGAGCUGGGAUUUGAAUCUAGUUCUCAAGAGGAUGCAUGGGACAGUAAGUGGUGCUGGGUCAGGAAGACCCGGUUUCAAAUUCCUUGCCGAUUACUGGCUGUAUUCAUGAGCCAAGUCUCAGCUUCUGUAUCUCAGUUUCCCCAUCUGUAAAAAAAGGCUAAUCAACACUGGCAAUAUCUUCAUGGGCCAUUUGAAGUUCAAAUGAGCUAAUGGAUAUAGAGGCUUUUGCAAACCUCAAAUCACUAUGCAUCUAUCAGGUAUCAGCCUGGGGCUCAAAAUCAAGUGUGGGACAAAAUGAUCUUAGGUAAUGAUCUGUCAGUAAAAAACUAUAAAUGUUGAGAAAUGUGGAGACUGAAUAGGUCAUAGGGAAACCAGAAUGCUCUGGUUGGUAAGGGGAAUUCAGGGUGGUCGUUUUUUUGGUUUGUUUUUUUUAAAAGACCCCAGGUCCGACCAGAGCAUACUAGAAAGUAAAGAAGAAGAAAAAAAGCCCAGGAAAAACAAGUGAAUAAUAAAGAGAUGGAGAAGCCAGGACUGCAGGCCAGAACCCACCCAAGUUAGAAGGGGCAGGAUCCCCAGGAGAACAGUCUGGAGUUACAAAAAAUGGGGAGCUUGCAGAGCACCCCACCAACCCAAGUUGGGAGAAGAGCCUUGACAAACGAGAUGCGUUUCUUUUUUUUCUUUUUUUGGCAAGGGAAUUGGGGUUAAGUGCCUUGCCCAGGGUCAC